UUCUGUGUAUACAGUGAUUAAGCACAUAGGUUCUGGAGCCAGUCUGUUUCUUUCAAAAUCACCUCAUUGCUUUUGAAGAAUCAGGGAAACCCCCAUGAGACUACAGGUGUGAAGCAAGAUAGAAGCAUCAGUGCAAAAGAGAUUCUCUUACUGAGAUACCUUGGAACAUGGUUUGAAUAAUAUUGCUCUAACUUCUUUCAUGUCAGGAAGCUCUGAGAUGCAGAAACACAGAAAGGAAGAGGAUUAGCAACUUUCCCAGAUCUGAGUUGAGCUGAGAUUUGAGUCAAGGCAAUAUUGCUUCUGGGGCUGUAACAACUACAUUUUAUUGUCUCCUGAACAGAUACUUCCUUUUCUUACUUAAUAAGAAUAGACCUUGGAGGUCUGGACCUGGACAUGAACGUACACUUUUCUAAAGAAGAUAUACACAUGGCCAACAAGCAUGUGAAAAAAAGCUCAA
rnacentral:lncRNA from 1 species